UUUUAAACGGCCCGGUACUCUGACCGUGCAAAGGUAGCAUAAUCAUUUGCCUUAUAAUUGAAGGCUGGAAUGAAUGGUUUGACAAGAAUAUACCUGUCUCCAUUAGAUUAUUUAGAAUUUUAUUUUUGGAUGAAAAAGUCCAGAUGUAAUUAAAAGACAAGAAGACCCUAUCGAGCUUCAGAAAAAUUAGUAGACUUUGUAAAUCAAUAUAAUUAAAAGAAAAUCUAUUAAAUACUUUGGUUGGGGCAACCGAGGAGUAAUUAAAGCCUCCUCUGAGUUAUAAAUCGUACUUGUGUUGAUCCAGUAAUUUUGAUAAAGGAAUUAGUUACCGUAGGGAUAACAGAUUAUCUUUUUCAAGAGCCCAUAUCGAAAAAAAGGUUUGUGACCUCGAUGUUGGACCAGAAUGACUAAAGAUGAGAAGUCUUUAAGGGUUGGU
rnacentral:rRNA from 1 species